rnacentral:rRNA from 1 species
AACGCUAGCUACAGGCUUAACACAUGCAAGUCGAGGGGAAACGACAUCGAAAGCUUGCUUUUGGUGGGCGUCGACCGGCGCACGGGUGAGUAACGCGUAUCCAACCUGCCCACCACUUGGGGAUAACCUUGCGAAAGUAAGACUAAUACCCAAUGACGUCUCUAGAAGACAUCUGAAAGAGAUUAAAGAUUUAUCGGUGAUGGAUGGGGAUGCGUCUGAUUAGCUUGUUGGCGGGGUAACGGCCCACCAAGGCGACGAUCAGUAGGGGUUCUGAGAGGAAGGUCCCCCACAUUGGAACUGAGACACGGUCCAAACUCCUACGGGAGGCAGCAGUGAGGAAUAUUGGUCAAUGGGCGAGAGCCUGAACCAGCCAAGUAGCGUGCAGGAUGACGGCCCUAUGGGUUGUAAACUGCUUUUAUAAGGGAAUAAAGUUAGUCUCGUGAGACUUUUUGCAUGUACCUUAUGAAUAAGGACCGGCUAAUUCCGUGCCAGCAGCCGCGGUAAUACGGAAGGUCCGGGCGUUAUCCGGAUUUAUUGGGUUUAAAGGGAGCGUAGGCCGGAGAUUAAGCGUGUUGUGAAAUGUAGUGGCUCAACCUCUGCACUGCAGCGCGAACUGGUCUUCUUGAGUACGCACAACGUGGGCGGAAUUCGUGGUGUAGCGGUGAAAUGCUUAGAUAUCACGAAGAACUCCGAUUG